GACGUAGGAGGCGAGCGUUGUCCGGAUUCAUUGGGCGUAAAGAGCGCGCAGGCGGCUUGGUAAGUCGGAUGUGAAAUCCCGAGGCUCAACCUCGGGUCUGCAUCCGAUACUGCCCGGCUAGAGGUAGGUAGGGGAGAUCGGAAUUCCUGGUGUAGCGGUGAAAUGCGCAGAUAUCAGGAGGAACACCGGUGGCGAAGGCGGGUCUCUGGGCCGAUACUGACGCUGAGGAGCGAAGGCGUGGGGAGCGAACAGG
rnacentral:rRNA from 1 species